rnacentral:piRNA from 1 species
UAAGCUCGCUAUUGAUUUCCAAGGA